rnacentral:rRNA from 1 species
CCUAGUAACGGCGAGUGAAGCGGGAAGAGCUCAAAUUUGAAAUCUGGCGGUCUACGGCCGUCCGAGUUGUAAUCUAGAGAGGUGUUUUCCGUGCCGGACCGUGUACAAGUCCCUUGGAACAGGGCGUCAUAGAGGGUGAGAAUCCCGUCCAUGACACGGACUACCGGUGCUCUGUGAUACACCUUCGAAGAGUCGAGUUGUUUGGGAAUGCAGCUCAAAAUGGGUGGUAAAUUCCAUCUAAAGCUAAAUACAGGCGAGAGACCGAUAGCGAACAAGUACCGUGAGGGAAAGAUGAAAAGAACUUUGGAAAGAGAGUUAAACAGUACGUGAAAUUGUUGAAAGGGAAACGCUUGAAGUCAGUCGCGUCUGUCAGGACUCAGCCUUGCUUCUGCAUGGUGCAUUUCCUGGUGGAUGGGCCAGCAUCGAUUUUGGUCGCCGGAAAAGGGCGGGAGGAAUGUGGCAGCUUGCUGUGUUAUAGCCUCCUGUCGUACACGGUGGUUGGGAUCGAGGACUGCAGCACGCCUUUGGUCGGGGUUCGCCCACGCCACGUGCUUAGGAUGCUGGCGUAAUGGCUUUAAGCGACCCGUCUUGAAACACGGACCAAGGAGUCUAACAUGCCUGCGAGUGUUUGGGCGUUAAACCCAGGCGCGUAAUGAAAGUGAAAAGUUGGGACUCUUUAGUGAGGCACCGACGCCCGAUCCUGACGUUCUCUGACGGAUUUGAGGUAGAGCAUGUAUGUUGGGACCCGAAAGAUGGUGAACUAUGCCUGAAUAGGGUGAAGCCAGAGGAAACUCUGGUGGAGGCUCGUAGCGAUUCUGACGUGCAAAUCGAUCGUCAAUUUGGGUAUAGGGCGAAAGACUAAUCGAANCCAUCUAGUAGCUGGUUCCUGCCGAAGUU